GUGGAUAUUAAUCUUUUGUAUAUAUGUGGCAAAUAUUUUCUUCCAGCUUCUCUCUUGCCUUUACCUCUUUGUAGGAUGUUUUGUUAGACAGAAGUUAUCAAUUUUAACAUAAUAAAGAAUUUAUCAAUCUUUUCCUUUAUUCUUUUCCUUUAUAUAUCAUGUUUAGGCCUUUCUUACUUCUAAGGUUUAAAUAUAUUCUGUAUUCUUUUCUAAUAAUUUUGUUUUUAUUUGGGUCUUUAAUGCAUCUGGAAUAUAUUUUUAUGAUUGAAAUGAGAUAGGAUCUAACCUUUCUCUGAAUGUACAGCUGGUUAUUGCAACGCAAUGGAUUGACUAGUUCAUCCUUUCUCCACUGAUCUGAGGUGAAAUUCCCUCAUACACUGAAUCGUAGUGUCUAGGUGCUGUUGGGUGAAAACAUGGUGCUUGGAGCUCUGACAAACAUCUUGUGACCAGGAGGGGAAGGCUAGGAGACUCACAGCUCUCUGCUGACUCAGAGCCUGGACACCUGGAACUACCGAUGUCUGGAUUUUUCAUUAUUUGAAAUAAAUAAAUAUUCUUACUGUUUAA